AUUGAACGCUGGCGGCAUGCCUUACACAUGCAAGUCGAACGGCAGCACGGGAGCAAUCCUGGUGGCGAGUGGCGAACGGGUGAGUAAUGUAUCGGAACGUGCCCAGUCGUGGGGGAUAACGUAGCGAAAGCUACGCUAAUAACGCAGACGAUCUAAGGAUGAAAGCGGGGGAUCGCAAGACCGCGCGCGAGUGGAGCGGCCGAUAUCAGAUUAGGUAGUUGGUGGGGUAAAGGCUCACCAAGCCGACGAUCUGUAGCUGGUCUGAGAGGACGACCAGCCACACUGGGACUGAGACACGGCCCAGACUCCUACGGGAGGCAGCAGUGGGGAAUUUUGGACAAUGGGCGCAAGCCUGAUCCAGCAAUGCCGCGUGCAGGAUGAAGGCCUUCGGGUUGUAAACUGCUUUUGUACGGAACGAAACGGCGAGCUCUAAUACAGUUUGCUACUGACGGUACCGUAAGAAUAAGCACCGGCUAACUACGUGCCAGCCGCCGCCGUAA
rnacentral:rRNA from 1 species